UACGUAGGGGGCGAGCGUUGUCCGGAUUUAUUGGGCGUAAAGAGCUCGUAGGCGGUUUGGCAAGUCGGGUGUGAAAACUCCGGGCUCAACUCGGAGACGCCACUCGAUACUGCCAUGACUCGAGUCCGGUAGGGGAGACUGGAAUUCCUGGUGUAGCGGUGAAAUGCGCAGAUAUCAGGAGGAACGCCGGUGGCGAAGGCGGGUCUCUGGGCCGGAACUGACGCUAAGGAGCGAAAGCGUGGGGAGCGAACAGG
rnacentral:rRNA from 1 species